rnacentral:rRNA from 1 species
UAGGGAAUAUUAGUAAUGGGCGAAAGCCUAGACUAGCAACGCCGCGUGUGCGAAGAAGGCCUUCGGGUUGUAAAGCACUUUUUGAGAGGAUGAGGAAGGACGGUACUCUCAGAAUAAGUCUCGGCUAACUACGUGCCAGCAGCCGCGGUAACACGUAGGAGGCGAACGUUAUCCGGAUUUACUGGGCGUAAAGCGCGUGUAGGUGGUUUGGUAAGUAGGGCGUGAAAGCUUCUGGCUCAACUGGGAGAGGCCGUUCUAAACUGCCGAACUAGAGGAUGGUAGAGGGAGGUGGAAUUCCGGGUGUAGCGGUGGAAUGCGCAGAUAUCCGGAGGAACACCAGUGGCGAAAGCGGCCUCCUGGACCAUUCCUGACACUCAGACGCGAAAGCUAGGGUAGCAAACGG